rfam:Anaerolineaceae bacterium 4572_5.1 ex4572_5.1_scaffold_27533, whole genome shotgun sequence.
UGGCUAAUGGCAGAGCGGCUCAUUCGUAAUGAGCAGGUCGUCGGUUCGAAUCCGAC